GGCCCAUGGUGGCCCUCGCUGGCUAACGCCAGGCAGCUGCCACCAAGAGGCGUCGGACAUUCUCAGGAGUGGAGAAGUGUAGACCCUGCCCCUUCCCCUGACAGCCUGCCUCUUCCCCUAUUCCCCUAACCACUUCGACCCCCACCCCCUCCUCUUUGAUAAGCGCAUUAUCAAAGGGUCCUGGAAUCUCUUGGAGGGGAAGUUUGGGUGAAUGUGGUCUUUGUCUUCAAAGGGUUUCAGAAGCUAGGCACUUAACUGAGCCUUGAUUACUCCUGGGAGCCCUGUGGCCUUCUCUUCUCUGUCACCUGAAGCACUCUGGGCCGGCUACCUCCACAAAGGCUCCCAGGAGGGUGGAGAGGGCUCUGGCUUCCGGAGGCCCCAGGCCCAGCCCAGCUCUCCUCCUGGCUGUGUGGCCUGGACAAGCCUGGGCCCUGAUUCCUCAUGUGCCAGCCCGCCCGGCCAGGGUGCUGCAGUCAGGCUUAGAGCUGAAAAUCCGGGGUGAGUAUAGGAGACUGAGGGAGACCUGAGGAAGCAUCAGGGCGCCGGGGAGGAGCCUGGCGCGCCAGAAGGGGAACUGCUGCUGCCAGCGGGCUGUCCUUUCCAGGAACAAAAGAGGAAGGAGGGACAGGGACCCCAGCCUUCCCCACGAAGAGACCUGGCCUCUGUGGCGGUGGGUCCGCCCUGGACCCCCGGCGCCCACGCGGCCCACUCAUGACCUCCGGGCUCCUGGGUUUGCUCCUGUUCUCCUGGACCCUGCAGAUGGGAGAAAUGUUCCCACUGCCAGGAGGCAGGCGCCACCUUGGGCUGCUACAACAAAGGCUGCUCCUUCCGAUACCAUUACCCGUGUGCCAUUGACGCAGAUUGUUUGCUACAUGAGGAGAACUUCUCGCUGAGGUGCCCCAAGCACAAGCCUCCCCUCCCAUGCCCUCUCCCGCCCUUGCAGAACAAGACCGCCAAAGGCAGCCUCAGCACAGAACAGUCGGAGCGGGGGUGAGGGGGGCAGUGUGCUCGUGGGAAUGGAGAGUACAGCAAGCACAGGUGAGACUGUGGAGAUGAGACGUGGUGGACACUCGUGAUGGAAUGGAAACCGUCGUCCUGCGCAGCUGCCCCCCACCCCCGCCCUGACGUGCCUGCCCUGCCAGCACUUCCUCCUCAGUUCUUACAUCACACCCAAACCAGGACACCACAGGAAAGAGACCCAAGAAGUUGGAAUGGCUGUUUCCAUGGACACAAUCUCCAUAGUGACAAUGUGGGGGAGGGGGGAGGGGGGAUGG